AACGAACGCUGGCGGCGUGCCUAACACAUGCAAGUCGAACGAGAAAGGGGCUUCGGCCCUGAGUAAAGUGGCGCACGGGUGAGUAACACGUAGGUAACCUGCCUCUAAGGUCGGGAUAACCUGUCGAAAGACGAGCUAAUACCGGAUAAGACUACAGCUUCUGCGGGAGCCGGGGUCAAAGGUAGCCUAUGCUUGCAAGCUAUCACUUAGAGAUGGGCCUGCGUACCAUAGCUAGUUGGUAGGGUAACGGCCGUACCAAGGCAAAGAUGGUUAGCUGGUCUGAGAGGAUGAUCAGCCACACUGGAACUGAGACACGGUCCAGACUCCUACGGGAGGCAGCAGUGGGGAAUAUUGCGCAAUGGCGAAAGCCUGACGCAGCAACGCCGCGUGAG
rnacentral:rRNA from 1 species